rnacentral:tRNA from 1 species
GGCCCGUUGGUGAAGCGGUCUAACACAUAUGCCUUUCACGCAUACAUACAUGGGUUCAAAUCCCGUACGGGUCA